UAGUUGGUGGAGUGAUUUGUCUGCUUAAUUGCGAUAACGAACGAGACCUUAGCUUUUAUUUGCGCAGCUUAACAAUUUUGUUGGGUUUGCGCCAUAAAAGGACUAUCGAAUUCAAGUCGAUGGAAGUUUGAGGCAAUAACAGG
rnacentral:rRNA from 1 species